rnacentral:lncRNA from 1 species
UGGGUGCGACAGAAACAACUGAAGGAUGCGUAAAUUAAAGUAGCGGUUGGGGAGUGCCCCGAACUCCUAGAGGCCACAUGACCCUGUGGGCGCCCUCGGACAGAGUGAGCCAACAAAUUAUCUGGCAGCAGCCAACAAAAAUUCACCUCGCAGCCAUGCCGCUGAAGUGUCGAGGACGCCGUCGUCGCUCGACCUCGUGCUUCCACGAUCGCGACCCUCACGGGUCCGCCA